GCCUGAUGGAGGGGGAUAACUACUGGAAACGGUAGCUAAUACCGCAUAACGUCGCAAGACCAAAGUGGGGGACCUUCGGGCCUCAUGCCAUCAGAUGUGCCCAGAUGGGAUUAGCUAGUAGGUGGGGUAACGGCUCACCUAGGCGACGAUCCCUAGCUGGUCUGAGAGGAUGACCAGCCACACUGGAACUGAGACACGGUCCAGACUCCUACGGGAGGCAGCAGUGGGGAAUAUUGCACAAUGGGCGCAAGCCUGAUGCAGCCAUGCCGCGUGUGUGAAGAAGGCCUUCGGGUUGUAAAGCACUUUCAGCGGGGAGGAAGGCGGUGAGGUUAAUAACCUCAUCGAUUGACGUUACCCGCAGAAGAAGCAC
rnacentral:rRNA from 1 species